AACGAACGCUGGCGGCAGGCUUAACACAUGCAAGUCGAACGCCCCGCAAGGGGAGUGGCAGACGGGGGAGUAACGCGUGGGAACGUGCCCUUCGCUUCGGAAUAGCCCCGGGAAACUGGGAGUAAUACCGAAUACGCCGUAUUGGGAAAGAUUUAUCGGCGAAGGAUCGGCCCGCGUUAGAUUAGCUAGUUGGCGGUGUAAUGGACCACCAAGGCUACGAUCUAUAGCUGGUCUGAGAGGAUGAUCAGCCACACUGGGACUGAGACACGGCCCAGACUCCUACGGGAGGCAGCAGUGGGGAAUCUUGGACAAUGGGCGCAAGCCUGAUCCAGCCAUGCCGCGUGAGUGAAGAAGGCCUUAGGGUUGUAAAACUCUUUCGCCGGAGAAGAUAAUGACGGUAUCCGGAGAAGAAGCCCCGGCUAACUUCGUGCCAGCAGCCGCAGUAACAC
rnacentral:rRNA from 1 species